UGUUUCAGGCUUGAAAUCUGGAACUGGCUUCCUUGGGGAAUUCAGAUAUGGGCCUAGGUCUGAGACCUGCUUCUAAUUUUAAUUAGUGCUACCAAAAUAAAAAUUGCUCCCACAGAGCAGAUGAAAUUCUCCCUUGUGUAGAUCAGCAGCAAAAGGCCUCUUAAAAGCUUAUACAGCCAUAGGCCUUUUGCUGACCUCGGCACAGCAUAAGCGUCUGUUGCUGGCCCAUCUCCACAGGAAUGAAUUUUAUCCGGAAAGCACAGCAGGAGAGGUUUGGGUUAAUAUUCUGGGUUAGGGUUUUAAUAUUAGGUUAUGUAAAGGUCAAGUAAACAGUUUAAAAAUAAUUGAAC